UGCAAGUCGAGCGGUAACAGAUCUAGCUUGCUAGAUGCUGACGAGCGGCGGACGGGUGAGUAAUGCAUAGGAAUCUGCCCUGUAGUGGGGGAUAACCUGGGGAAACCCAGGCUAAUACCGCAUACGUCCUACGGGAGAAAGGGGGCUUCGGCUCCCGCUACGGGAUGAGCCUAUGUCGGAUUAGCUAGUUGGUGAGGUAACGGCUCACCAAGGCGACGAUCCGUAGCUGGUCUGAGAGGAUGAUCAGCCACAUCGGGACUGAGACACGGCCCGAACUCCUACGGGAGGCAGCAGUGGGGAAUAUUGGACAAUGGGGGGAACCCUGAUCCAGCCAUGCCGCGUGUGUGAAGAAGGCCUUCGGGUUGUAAAGCACUUUCAGCGAGGAAGAACGCCUAGUGGUUAAUACCCAUUAGGAAAGACAUCACUCGCAGAAGAAGCACCGGCUAACUCCGUGCCAGCAGCCGCGGUAAUACGGAGGGUGCAAGCGUUAAUCGGAAUUACUGGGCGUAAAGCGCGCGUAGGUGGCUUGAUAAGCCGGUUGUGAAAGCCCCGGGCUCAACCUGGGAACGGCAUCCGGAACUGUCAGGCUAGAGUGCAGGAGAGGAAGGUAGAAUUCCCGGUGUAGCGGUGAAAUGCGUAGAGAUCGGGAGGAAUACCAGUGGCGAAGGCGGCCUUCUGGACUGACACUGACACUGAGGUGCGAAAGCGUGGGUAGCAAACAGGAUUAGAUACCCUGGUAGUCCACGCCGUAAACGAUGUCGACCAGCCGUUGGGUGCCUAGAGCACUUUGUGGCGAAGUUAACGCGAUAAGUCGACCGCCUGGGGAGUACGGCCGCAAGGUUAAAACUCAAAUGA
rnacentral:rRNA from 1 species